rnacentral:rRNA from 1 species
CAGCAGGUCCCGCAAGGGAUGCUGGCGACCGGCAAACGGGUGCGGAACACGUACGCAACUUUCCUUCAAGCGGGGAAUAGCCCAGGGAAACUUGGAUUAAUACCCCAUAAUCUUAUUGAAGUGGCAUCACUUUAUAAGAAAAGCUCCGGCACUUGAAGAUGGGCGUGCGGCUGAUUAGGUAGUUGGCGGGGUAACGGCCCACCAAGCCUGCGAUCAGUAACUGGUGUGAGAGCACGACCAGUCACACGGGCACUGAGACACGGGCCCGACUCCUACGGGAGGCAGCAGUAAGGAAUAUUGGGCAAUGGACGCAAGUCUGACCCAGCCAUGCCGCGUGGAGGAUGAAGGUCCUCUGGAUUGUAAACUUCUUUUAUCUGGGAAGAAAUCCAUAUUUUCUAAUGUGGUUGACGGUACCAGAUGAAUAAGCACCGGCUAACUCCGUGCCAGCAGCCGCGGUAAUACGGAGGGUGCAAGCGUUAUCCGGAUUCACUGGGUUUAAAGGGUGCGUAGGCGGAUUGGUAAGUCCGUGGUGAAAUCCCCGAGCUUAACUUGGGAACUGCCGUGGAUACUAUCAGUCUUGAAUAUCGUGGAGGUAAGCGGAAUAUGUCAUGUAGCGGUGAAAUGCUUAGAUAUGACAUAGAACACCAAUUGCGUAGGCAGCUUACUACUCGAUCAUUGACGCUGAGGCACGAAAGCGUGGGGAGCAAACAGGAUUAGAUACCCUGGUAGUCCACGCCCUAAACGAUGGAUACUCGACAUCAGCGAUACACUGUUGGUGUCUGAGCGAAAGCAUUAAGUAU